rnacentral:lncRNA from 1 species
AAAAAUUUACCUAAAUUAUUAAGUUCUUUCACAUUGUGAACUGAUAACAACUGUAUAAGUUUAAAAGUGGAUGGAUAUUGCCAAUAAUAUUUCUUAAUGUAUAGUUUUCUUACAUCACUAUAUCUAUUACAUUCUAGAACAACAUGGUAUUCAUCUUCUACAAUAUUGUUAUUGCACAUAGUACAUAAUCUAUUUUCUCUAUCUACAUUGUAAUAUCUGCCUGUUUCUAUGUUGAGGCUAUGGGCGGAUAUACGAUAUUUACAUAUAAAAGGUUUAUAUAUUUGAUUAACAGGUCUAUCUAAAUAAAAUUGCAGUAUAUCUGUGUCAUAUAUAUAUCUAUAAAGUAUACAUUUUGAUGAAUUAUUAAAAAAAGCAUUAGCAUCAGCAAUAAAGGUAUCUUUCAUUCUUUGUUUUAACUCAUGUAUGAAUAUAUCAACAUUAUUUACGCUUUGUUUUAGCCAUACAUCAUGAAAACCAUAUCUACAUAAAAUAUCUUUGACUGAACAUGCCCAAUUCGAUUUGUCAUUGGGUUUUUUAAAUGAACUCUCCAACAUAUCUUCAUAACAUGCUUUAAGUAUACAGUUAUCAGUAUUUAAUAAUUUAAACCAAAACUGAAUCAGUCUUCUUUGUCUUUCAUAAUACAUUGGAUAACGUCCCAAUUCACA